UCAGACGAUGCGUCAUGCAUAUCAAUAAGCGGAGGAAAAGAAACUAACAAGGAUUCCCCUAGUAACGGCGAGUGAAGCGGGAAGAGCUCAAAUUUGAAAUCUUAAAGGGUUUCCCUUUACGAAUUGUAGUUUAAAGAAGUGUUUUCUGUUGAGGUUUUGGUAAAAGUUCUUUGGAAUAGGACAUCAUAGAGGGUGAGAAUCCCGUAUUUGACCUUUACUUUCAACUUUGUGAUACACUUUCAAAGAGUCGGAUUGUUUGGGAAUGCAGUCCAAAAUGGGUGGUAAAUUUCAUCUAAAGCUAAAUAUUGGCGAGAGACCGAUAGCGAACAAGUACCGUGAGGGAAAGAUGAAAAGAACUUUGAAAAGAGAGUUAAACAGUACGUGAAAUUGUCAAAAGGGAAGCGUUUGACACCAGUGUUGUUUUUCUGAAAAUCAAUUAAAGAACUGUUUAUGCUAAGUUGUUUAGACUUUAUCAGCUAUCUGUUUAGUUUUGAGCUUUUCUUUAAUGCACUUUUCAGUUAACAAGCCAACAUCAAUUUCUUUUGCUGUAAAAAAGCUUGAGGAAGGUGGCUUGAGAUUCGUCUUAAGUGUUUAUAGCCUCUUGCCUAUGCAGUCGGAGAGAUUGAGGUCUGCAGCGUAGAUCCUUCGGGGCUAAAUGCAUUUGUGCUAAGUUAUAGCAUUUUAUAGACAACUUGUUGACUAUGAUUUGUCUUGUAGCUUACUCGCUUAUGUUAUUUUACCUACGCUUAGGAUGUUGACACACGCGCGUGCUCG
rnacentral:rRNA from 1 species